AUUGAACGCUGGCGGAAUGCUUUACACAUGCAAGUCGAGCGGCAGCACGGACUUCGGUCUGGUGGCGAGUGGCGAACGGGUGAGUAAUAUAUCGGAACGUGCCCAGUCGUGGGGGAUAACGUAGUGAAAAUUACGCUAAUACCGCAUACGAUCUAUGGAUGAAAGCGGGGGAUCGCAAGACCUCGCGCGAUUGGAGCGGCCGAUAUCAGAUUAGGUAGUUGGUGAGGUAAAGGCUCACCAAGCCAGCGAUCUGUAGCUGGUCUGAGAGGACGACCAGCCCAACUGGAACUGAAACACGGGCCAGCAUCCUACGGGAGGCAGCAGUGGGGAAUUUUGGACAAUGGACGCAAGUCUGAUCCAGCCAUUCCGCGUGCAGGACGAAGGCCUUCGGGUUGUAAACUGCUUUUGUACAGAACGAAAAGGUUUCUAUUAAUACUAGGGGCUCAUGACGGUACUGUAAGAGUAAGCACCGGCUAACUACGUGCCAGCCGCCGCAGUAA
rnacentral:rRNA from 1 species